rnacentral:misc_RNA from 1 species
UCUCCGUUGGUGAACCAGCGGAGGGAUCAUUAAUGAGUUGCAAAACUCCCAAGACCUUUGUGAACCUUACCUAUACCGUUUCCUCGGCGGGCGGCGGCAAGCCGUGACCGGUUUCCCCCUCGCCCCUUUCAUCGGGGGCGGGAGGGAACAGGGCCCGCCGGAGGCACCCUAAACUCUUGUUUUCAGUUGGUCUCUCUGAGUCGUACUUUGUAAAUAAGUCAAAACUUUCAACAACGGAUCUCUUGGUUCUG